GUAAUCGCUGGAUGGCAGCCUCAAACUCAAAGUUCGUCAUUUUCUCCCUCUACUUUUCACCAAUAUCAGAAAUGAUGUCUCAAUGGAGCCACUGCUUGCUUCGGACGCCUCCAUUUACACAUCUCUCAACUUGGCGUUGGAUCAACUCAUGCCUAACAUCUGUCUUCUUUCAUAAGAAAAAUCAAUAAGUAGCUGUUGAAGUUGGCAUGCAUGCAGCACAUGAACAACUAAGGAGCAGACCAUGCAGUCCAAGUUAUGUGGAUGAAGUAUGAAGAUCAAGAUGCUGUAGUAUUUCCGAGUGAAGUACAUGCAGCUACUGAAGUUGAUGCUACGGUUCAAUUUCGGUUUCAUUUUGUUACUUUAAGUAAUAUUUUGUAACUUAGUUUAAUUAGAACUAAGUAGGCAAUGUAAUUAAUGUAAUUGGGUGCUGAUAAGAUUGAUAGAUCAGCUUACCUAAUUGUGCAAGUUGUGAUUUGUAAGUUGCAAUGUGCAAAUUGUGCAAGUUGUAAUGAAGCCUAAAAAUAGUAAGUGAAACCUGUUAAAGCUGACCAGCUUAUGACUAGUAUAUAUAUUGGCAUUAUGUCAUCUUUUAAUCAAUGAAUUUUAAUAGAAAUCAUUCAAGAAAA